GUGUCAGCAGCCGCGGUAAUACGUAGGGUGCAAGCGUUGUCCGGAAUUAUUGGGCGUAAAGAGCUCGUGGGCGGCUUGUCGCGUCUGCUGUGAAAUCCCGAGGCUCAACCUCGGGCUUGCAGUGGGUACGGGCAGGCUAGAGUGCGGUAGGGGAGAUUGGAAUUCCUGGUGUAGCGGUGGAAUGCGCAGAUAUCAGGAGGAACACCGAUGGCGAAGGCAGAUCUCUGGGCCGCUACUGACGCUGAGGAGCGAAGGCAUGGGGAGCGAACAGGAUUAGAAACCCGAGUAGUCC
rnacentral:rRNA from 1 species